UACGUAGGGUGCAAGCGUUAAUCGGAAUUACUGGGCGUAAAGCGUGCGCAGGCGGUUUUGUAAGUCUGACGUGAAAUCCCCGGGCUCAACCUGGGAAUUGCGUUGGAGACUGCAAGGCUGGAGUCUGGCAGAGGGGGGUAGAAUUCCACGUGUAGCAGUGAAAUGCGUAGAUAUGUGGAGGAAUACCGAUGGCGAAGGCAGCCCCCUGGGAUAACACUGACGCUCAUGCACGAAAGCGUGGGGAGCAAACAGG
rnacentral:rRNA from 1 species